UCCCAGACUCCUACGGGAGGCAGCAGUGGGGAAUAUUGGGCAAUGGGCGCAAGCCUGACCCAGCAACGCCGCGUGAAGGAAGAAGGCUUUCGGGUUGUAAACUUCUUUUGUCAGGGACGAAGCAAGUGACGGUACCUGACGAAUAAGCCACGGCUAACUCCGUGCCAGCAGCCGCGGUAAUACGGAGGAUGCGAGCGUUAUCCGGAUUUAUUGGGUUUAAAGGGUGCGUAGGCGGAUUUUUAAGUCAGCGGUAAAAUGUCCGGGCUCAACCCGGGCCGGCCGUUGAAACUGGGGAUCUUGAGUGGGCGAGAAGUAUGCGGAAUGCGUGGUGUAGCGGUGAAAUGCGUAGAUAUCAGGAGGAACACCGGCGGCGAAGGCGGCCUGCUGGACCGUGACUGACGUUGAGGCUCGAGAGCGUGGGGAGCAAACAGGAUUAGAUACCCGCGUAAU
rnacentral:rRNA from 1 species